rnacentral:rRNA from 1 species
AGAAUCAACGCUGGCGGCGUGCCUCAGACAUGCAAGUCGAACGCGAAAGUCCCCUUCGGGGGACAAGUAGAGUGGCGCACGGGUGAGUAACACGUAGGUAAUCUACCUUCGGGUGGGGAAUAACAACCGGAAACGGUUGCUAAUACCGCAUAAUGCAGCGGCACCUAAUGGUGACAGUUGUUAAAGCGGGGGAUCGCAAGAUCUCGCGCCUGAAGAGGAGCCUGCGGCGAUUAGCUAGUUGGUAGGUAAUGGCCUACCAAGGCGACGAUCCGUA